rnacentral:lncRNA from 1 species
UGUUGUGUGGCUGGUUCGUAGUGAGGACCCAGAUGCAGACACUGAGACUGAGAUCAACUUAAAGUGAAUUUUAAUGUCUAACAAAAGGUUGUAAAGGCAAACGAGGAAGUCCGGAGGGCUGGUUGGCUGGCUGUCGUGUGGGCUGGAGACACUGCAGGAGAAAACCAGAGGAGACCGGAGUUAAAGAACAUGAAAAGAGUCACUAGGAGCAAAGUGGGAGUUAAAGAACAUGAAAAGAGUCACGAGGAGCAAAAUUCUGAUAGGGAUACAAACAAGGUUGGCCAGGAGACGUGUCUUUACCGCUAGGAAGGGUAGACAAUACUCAGGCCCUGAGGCUGAGGGCUGCAGGCUUCUUAAAGUGCCUUGAUUGGAGAUGUGGAGCAGGUGUAGGCCUGUCACGAUAACAAAUUUUGCUGGACGAUAAUUGUGCUACAAAUUAUCGCCGAUAAACGAUAUUAUUGACACCGUUUUUUAAAUUAUAGAUAAUGAUAUUAUAUGGCAUAAUAAUGCGAGUACACCAUGUCAAAAGUGAUAAACUUUAAUUUCCACACGAGAACAACACUGGUUGUUUUCGUUGACUAAAAUAUUUCCCUUUUCUCCCACGACGAAGACGUAACGUUGACGAGCUAAACAGAAGUCGGAGAUGACUAAAAUGUGACGAGACGAAAGUGCGUUUACGUUGAUGGGACGAGACGAAAAUGACGAACAGAGUUGCAAAACUCAGUCAGUUAAACGCUAAACAUAUAGGAGCAGCUUCAGUCCGCGCUGACAGCUCUCAUCAGCCUGCUGUGCUCCUCCAACACACAGACACACACACACACACGCGCGCACACACACACGAGUUUUAUGGUUGACGAAAACAAAACUAGUUUAAAGCCGAAAUAUUCCCACACUUGGGCUGUUGCGUUCGGUUUAGACACCAAAGCUGUCGUGUUCAUUCUGUUAGCUUGCUUUUCACUCACGACGCUCACUUGCAGCACUGUAUCCAAAAAGUCUGUGUCUGUGUGCGCCAGCCCCCUCGUGACAAAGACACUGAAUGACUGACAGGAGGGUUCACUAACUCCGUUCAUUCCGCUAUAGAGCCAACACCCCCAGGUGCCGAGAAAAAUGCGUAGAGUGAGACCUCUUCUCUCAUCCAGCGUGUUUGGUAGCGAGAGAGGAGGAAAACAAAGGCACGUCAGUUAUCGAGGCUGGCAAAAUGACCGACCUCGUUUUUAUUUAUCGAGCGAUAAGGCGAUUUAUUGAUUAUCGCGACAGGCCUAAGCAGGUGUGUAGUCUCACUCAGCCUCAGUGCCGGGGGAGGGGAGGAAGCUCUGGAAAAGAGUGAAGCCAGACCAGGCAAACAAGGAAACACAGGAAGUCCAGCCAAAAUAAAACAUGAGGAGGCGUCUCACCACAGUUUGUUUUUUUUUUGAGCUUAUGAAGAUGGCGUGCUGUCAGUACUAUCCACAAUGUUAUUGACUCCCAUGUAUCUUUUCUAUCAGACAGUAAGUUUGUAAUACUAACCAGGGGAUGGACGGCAAUCAUAAUCAUGAUCUUUGCCCACUGCAGUGUAUUGCCUAGUCUGUACUAUCCCCUAUUCCUUGUCCUCUGUUCUCUGUUCGCUGGACUGUCCCCUGUCCUCUGAACUUUCCUUUGGACUGCCCCUCCCAGUCGUCACCUGGGCUGUAUUCAAUCGCACACAGAUGCUUUCGUACUCGCUGGUUAACUAGCACCCGAGGUGUGAACCUUAAAAAAUUAAAGACAAAAGUUGACAUAUUACAUCAAAAAUGCUUUUACAUGCCUCCAGGAAUAUGUUUCAUAGGUUUCAUAGCAAUAUAAUAGAGCUUGAAUGUCUCAAGAAUAGUUACUAUAGGUUAGUUCAUAGGCUCGGUGCCAUGAUCUGUUAACUGCUUAACCAGUUUUGAACCUGUGAGUCAUCUCUCCUUAGUCUAUCAAUUGUUAAAAUUUGUAUCUUGAUCUGAAAAUGCAUUUUCUGUUUAGUAUAAAGCUGGAGAGACAGGUAGAGCACUGUACUAGCUAGGUUUAACAUUGUAAUGUGAUAAUUACCCCAGUCAUUCCAGUGGAAUCUUGAAGGCGGCAGUAGCUCAGGAGGUAGAGCGGUCGUCCAAUAACCGGAAGGUUGGCCGUUCGAUUCCCCCCUAAUCCAAGUCUGUCCGUUGUGUCCUUGGGCAAGACACUUAACCCACCUUCCUCCCAGUGUGUGUCCUCCACUGGUGUAUGAUUGUGAGUGUUGUGUGGUGGUGGUCGGAGAGGCCGUAGGCGCAGAAUGGCAGCCACGUUUCCACCACCACCAAAGUGUGACUGUGUGAGCGAAUGAAUGAUGUAUCCAAUGUAAAGCGCUUUGAGGGUCUCUGAUAAAGCGCUAUAUGAAAUCUGAUGCAUUAUUUUUAUUAUUAUUAUUAAGGCACAGCUCCGUGUUUAAUGCUUCCACUGGCUUGUGUGGACUUGUGCAAAUCCUCGGGUUUGAAAUGUUCACUGCAAACAUAGGUGCUUCCAUGAGUUAUUGUAAAACUUGGUCCCUCAUCUCUCCUGAUUGCCCUCACCCAGUUGCCACAAGCAGUUUUAUCAACUGGGAAGUCAUGGAAACCUAAGUGAGGGGAUUUCUUUUUGCCGUUGGUGCAACACGGGACGCUACACCAAGCUUGUGACAUAUUGUUGUGAGAAAGAGUCUCGUCCGGGGAGUAAUUUAGUCUAGAAACGCCACUGACCACACGUCCAAAACAACACUCAUUAUAAAACCCAGUGGCCCUUGUAGUUUCAAUUUUAGCUUUCCUUAGAUUACAUAAGAAUAGAUUCAGUUCUUUGGCCAAGAGUAAGAGGUAUGGUGAGUGAUUAUACAUUGAUAUAAAAAGGAAAUGCUAAAUGAAAUUAUGCUAGAUAAACACGGGGUGGUCGCUAGCAUCAUUAACAUGAGUUAGCUUCCAUUCCCGGCAUAUUUAGACGAUUUCAUAGUAGGAAAAUUUAAAAUGCAGACAAAGUUAGCAAGAGAACAUAUUGCCAAGUCGUAAAUAAAAUCAGUCUUUACUAUACCUUUCAGAAUUUCACAUUAUGGAUCUUGAGUUUGGGGAGGUCCAUGUAAACCUAAUGGGAUUUCUCCUGGGAUCCCCUGUUAGUAGUAAAACCGGAAG